GGGGAGCUGCCGGAGAGCAAAGGGGGUGAAGCCCAGGUGAGUGAGGCGCAGCGGUGCCUGCUGCGUUGGGGUAGGAGUGGGUGAAAGAGCCGGCGCUUGCGAUGCCGUUGCAGCUGCAGAAAGCAACUCUUCUCUUAAAACUGAGGAAACGUAAACGCGAUACAAACCUGUGCGGGACGUGACUGACCGAUAUCGCUGGUAUCUGCUGGGGAGCGAUGCCGGCCGGGAGGCAGCAGCCCCUCGGCCGGGCAAAGGAGGGGGAGGGGGUCACGGCCACCUCCCACACCACUGCAAGCCAGAUCGUAAGCAGCCUGAGCCCUCCCUGUGGCAGCCCACUCCUCUCCCUCGCCUUGGGGCUGGCUGUGGCUUUCUUCCUGCGGCUGCGCUGACCCCCUACGCCCCCUCCCCAGGGAGACACCCCCAGGAUGGCAUCCCUGGCCUUGGCACCUCCUUGGACCCUUGCAGCACAGAGGAGCAGCCUGUACCCUGCCCUGCCUGCCUCUGCUCCCCUCAGCCUCAAAAUAACCCCCCUAAACUGCCCCAGCUCGGGAACAGGCCUGCUGUGAGAUUCUGAGAAAUAAAGCUGGUGU
rnacentral:lncRNA from 1 species